rnacentral:rRNA from 1 species
AGCGUAGACGGUAUGGUAAGUCAGAUGUGAAAGCCCGGGGCUCAACCCCGGGACUGCAUUUGAAACUAUCAGACUAGAGUGCAGGAGAGGUAAGUGGAAUUCCUAGUGUAGCGGUGAAAUGCGUAGAUAUUAGGAGGAACACCAGUGGCGAAGGCGGCUUACUGGACUGUAACUGACGUUGAGGCUCGAAAGCGUGGGGAGCAAACAG